rnacentral:rRNA from 1 species
UACCAGCACCCCGAGUGGUCGGGACGUUUUAUUGGGCCUAAAGCAUCCGUAGCCGGUUCUACAAGUCUUCCGUUAAAUCCAGCUGCUUAACAGAUGGGCUGCGGAAGAUACUAUGGAGCUAGGAGGCGGGAGAGGCAAGCGGUACUCGAUGGGUAGGGGUAAAAUCCGUUGAUCCAUUGAAGACCACCAGUGGCGAAGGCGGCUUGCCAGAACGCGCUCGACGGUGAGGGAUGAAAGCUGGGGGAGCAAACAGG